AGCACGUUUUGUAUAUGCUUGUUUAACGGGUGGACAAAGGCAUGAAAGACAGGUGCAUAAACGAAUCUUUUGCAACUUAGAACUCAUUGUUCAGUAUGAGUUUUGAUAUACACAGAGUGGAAUAUG
ensembl:snoRNA